rnacentral:rRNA from 1 species
CUAGCGACUUCAGAGUUUGAUCCUGGCUCAGGACGAACGCUGGCGGCGUGCCUAACACAUGCAAGUCGAACGGAGUGUUUCGCUGAAUUGAUGUAAGCUUGCUUAUGGAUUUUCUUGAAACACUUAGUGGCGGACGGGUGAGUAACGCGUGAGUAACCUGCCUUACAGAGGGGGACAACAGUUGGAAACGACUGCUAAUACCGCAUAACAUAGCGAGAAGGCAUCUUCUUGUUAUCAAAGGAGCAAUCCGCUGUAAGAUGGACUCGCGUCCAAUUAGAUAGUUGGUGGGGUAAAGGCCUACCAAGUCGACGAUUGGUAGCCGGACUGAGAGGUUGAACGGCCACAUUGGGACUGAGACACGGCCCAG